rnacentral:lncRNA from 10 species
AGAAGUGGGCCUGUUGGAUGCCACUACCAGAAGAAGGAUAUAACAUUGCAACGUCCCUUCCAGACAAAGAAAAGAGCCUGUGUGAAGACAGCAUUGUUGGAAAACAACAAACGUUUGUGUUUUUUUUUUAUUUGUUUGUUUUGUGUGGACAUCUUUUUUUAUUUUUAAAAAACUUUAAUUUUAAGUUUGGGGUCUAAUGCAAGUUUGCUGCCUAGAUAAACUUGUGUUACGGGGGUUUGUUGUACAGAUUAUUUCAUCACCCAGGUAUUAAGCCUAGUACACAUUAGUUAUUUUUUCCUGAUCCUCUCCCUCCUCCCAUCCUCCACCUUCCAAACGGCCGCAGUGUGUCUGUGUCUUGUUCCCUACCAUGUGUCCAUGUGUUCUUAUCAUUCAGCUCCCACUUAUAAGUGAGAACAUGUUGGUAUUUGGUUUUCUGUUUCUUUGUUAGUUUGCUAGGGAUAAUGGCCUCCAGCUCCAUCCAUGACCCUGCAAAGGACAUGAUCUCAUUCCUUUUUAUGGCUGCAUAGUAUUCUGUGGUGUAUACGAACCACAUUUUAUUUAUCCAGUCUGUUAUUGAUGGGAAUUGAGGUUGAUUCCAUGUCUUUGUUAUUGUGAAUAGUAGUGCUGCAAUGAACAUACACGGGCAUGUAUCUUUAUAAUAUAAUAAUUUAUAUUCCUCUGGGUAUAUACCCAGUAAUGGGAUUGCUGGGUCGAAUGGUAUUCCUGUGUUUAGGUCUUUGAGGAAUUGCCACACUGUCUUCCACAAUGGAUGAACUAAUUUACACUCCCACCGACAGUGUAUAAGCAUUCUUUUUUUUUCUCCACCAUCUCACCAGCAUCUGUUAUUUUUUGACUUUUUAAUAAUAGUCAUUCUGGCUGGUGUGAAAUGGUAUCUCAUUGUUGUUUUGAUUUGCAUUUCUUUAAAGAUCAGUGAUGCUGAGCUUUUUUCAUAUGAUUACAACAAAUGUUUUGAUACCUCUUUUUGAACCAAAGUUCCAGGGAGGGCCAGAGUAAGGAGAGUGUUAUUGCAGAACGAGAUAUAUUGGAAACAAUGGUUCUGAUCCCAUUCCCUCUUUGAAACCCUGAGAGACAACUGCUAAUGCUAUUGGCUCCAGUGUUCAGGGGAGUGAUAGCAUAAAAAGGGAGUAGAGAGGUGGCCACACGUGCUAGCUCUGUUGAGCUGCACUUAUCUCCAGUGGGAUAUCAAGGGACCCAGCAGUUCCUAAAAGCCUUUUCUGGUGGCAGAAAGGAGAGUAGCUAAGAAUUCUCUGGGGGUAGAAUUGCCAGGGACAGGGAAAGACAGGAGUCCUGGCACACCUGCACACUGAAUUGGGACCCAGUGGGCAAGGCAAGUCUUGAUCGAGCCAAAUAAAUAGAUCAUCAUUGUGUCAGCUGCUGGCUUGAGCAGUGGGCAGCAUAGAAUGACCACUCCCAACCAGGUACAACCCUGUCACUUGGACCUUCACAGAACCCAGGCCAGGGCAGAACCAGACCAGCCAGCCACUCUGCAGUAGAGAUCAGUGAAUACCAGAGUUGGCACCUGGAGUUGUAUCCCUUUUCCCUGCUACCGUUAAGUCAUCCUAGUAAUCCUCCUUGCAGAAGAGAAGUAGGGUGGAAGAUUUGACGAGGUGAAUGUGUACAUGAAAUACGCUGUGUUACCCCAAGGAUACUCUUAACUGGAAGGAAUUGAGAGCUCUUAAACGGCAGAGUUCAGGGUUUUGUUGUUUGUGUUGUUUCUUUUUUCUACUCUUGGUGGGUUGGGUGGGAAUUCUUAGGGAGAAGAUGUCAUCAGUUAGAAAUAAGAACUAAUUUUUCUCAGUACAUUGACUAGGGGGCCAGAAUACUUAUUUGCAACUCUAGUACCUAUCAAGUACCUCAUUUAAAUUUUUACCAAAAAAAUUUUUACCUGGGUGUCUAACAAAUGAGGACACUGAAAUUUAGUGAGAGUAAGUGAUUUUUCCUAUGGCCCUUCACUGAACCAGGUGGUGAAACCUAUAUCCAAAUAAAACUUGGAAUUUGGAGUCUUAAGCCCUAUAGUAUUAAUAUUUUGUUAACUGUUAGAUGAAGCAUUGCAACAGUAGGAAAUCCCUUUCUUAAGUUUUGGGGUGCUUUCAGGGUUAGCAUGGUAGGAGCAGAGAACCCAGAAAUGGUCUGUUCAGCUUAGAGUGAAUGUUCUGAGCUUGAGAUCCAUUGCUGAUGCGGCACUGCACUGUGGGGUUAUGAAUUGCUUCUGGCUUGGCAUCAAAGCGGAAAUGCGUGGGAAUGCACACUGGGUUGGCUGGGCUCCUGCCCUGGGUGAAUGUGGUGCAGAUGGUCCUACUGAGGAUGAAAAGCCCGGUGGAGAGAUGUUCAAUAGGUUAAUUGUGCACGUUCUUGGAUGAGUCAGCCUGUAAUUGCUGAUACCAAUAUGUUCGGCGUUGCUGCCUCAGGGGCUUGGUGUGUGAGUCAGAUGAUGGAAAUGAGGAUAAAGUUGGCCUUGUUUCCUGAAAUCUUAGAAACCGAAUAAUAAGUUUUUGAACUUGGUAUGUGAUCAAAAUCACUUUGGGAGAAAGAUGAAAAGACAGAAUGAAAAACUUGGCAUGCAGGUAAAAGCAGAAUUCAGGAACCAGGAAAACAAGAAGUGCUGUAAUGUAAUACAACCCUCUAUUCUGUUAUGACUCAGCAGAAUCACAAGAUUUGAGCUCUGGAGGUGUUUUCUGUCCAUCAAACAAACGAAGCCCACUCCACCAAGCUUAUUUAUCCAGUUUGAAGCAGUGCUGGACCUUCGGUGAGAAGAGAGACGUAGCUGAACAUGUUUAUAGAAGUGGAAGCCCUUCCUACAUUUUUCAGAAACCCAACUUACCCAUAUCUCAUCUGCAAAAACCCAGUGAUUAGGUUGUAAUCAAUGCAUUCCUAGACUGCGAACUCUUUCAAUGUUGACUGCAGCUCUGCCAUCUACAUAACCUGAGGAAAGGAAGAGGACUAUGCGCAGACUGACAAGAGCAGUCCCAUUUGUAUUAAUACAAGGAAUGGUCAGUCCUCAUCUGGAAUGACUUAGGACUGAUAGAUGUGCAUUUACACCACUACAUUGAUUGGAGGAAAGAAAGGACAUUGAUUGGAAGGACCCACUGGCAUUGCGGAGGAAUGGCCUUACAAAAUGAGAUGGUCAUGACCAUCCCUGGAGAAUCUGACAUAUGGAGUGAAGACUGUAGAGAGGAUGUGCUGACUGCUCUAAGUGUCAUCAAUGAGGGUACACAGAAUAAAAGAAUGUCUGCCACUAGCACUACCCCUUGGGUGCUAUAGACCAAAGGUGGCAUCAUGACUAGAAUCCAAAUGGCAAGAGCCAAUUAAUAUGCCCACACACAGAACUUAAAACCAAGGGUUGGCAAUAGACCAUGCACAGUUCAGAGCCCUUAACUUGUACUCUGUUGGAGGUCAGUGAGAGUUGCCCUGAGACACCAUGAGACUGGUGACCCAGUAUCAUGGGAUCCCAUGAAAUAAAUACUGCUCAGGUCAGCAAAAGCAAUCUCCAUGCCAGGCCAUACUUCUGGAAAUGGAGGCCCAGAUGACCUCAUAGGUGAAACUCCUAGAGCUCUGCAUUGUAUCUGGUCAACCCCAUAUGCAUGGUAGAGGGCUUGAGAGCUCUCUUACGGGGACAAAUGGAGCUUCUGGGUUAUAUGGAUCCUGGUCUAGAUUUGGGGUCCCCUGCCUGGAUAGCACUGCCAGCCCUGGCCAGUUGUAGGUACUGGAAGGGUACAUAAAAAUUUUUAAGGAACCCUUUUCCUUCCUACCCUCCACAAGGCAGUACCCAAGGCAGGGGCUUUACCUGCUUGCAUCUAAUGGUGGUACUACUUAUUAUCAUUCUUGUUUUACAGAUGAGCAAACUGAGAUAGGAAGAAAUUAAGUAAUUUUUCCAAAGUUAAACUACUAGUAAGUAGCAAGAUAUACAAUCAUAGAAUCUAGUUCCUGUACUCAUAACCAAUAUACUACAUGGUCUCUGAAGUACUGUAGUAUAUAUGAAAGAACUUUUUGAGAAUGAAAAAUGUUAUUUCUCAAAUUUCAUAAAAUACAGAAGUGCUUCAAAAAAUGCAUUCUAGUUAUAAACGUAAAGAGCUGUGAAGGCCAAUUAUUACAUAUAAAAAUACCAUGAACCCCCACCAGUCAUUUAACCAAUUAAAAAUAAACACUGCAGGAAAUAUAUGGGGAGAAAGAUGUAGUAGGAAGAGAGUUCUGGCAGCAAAAACCAUGAGCUUUCAUGCAAGGCAGGAUACUCUGCUUUACUUAUGGCUGAGACCUUGAUCAAGAAGACUUAGAAUAAGACUGAAGACUGUGAUUUACAUGGUCAGAAAAGAGCUACAGAGCAGCUGGAUAUUGAUAUCAUUCUUCUUGCUUAAUGAGGGAGACGAAGAAUAAGUUAGAGGUUUUUAGAAACACAUCACAAAGGAAACUUCCAUGGUAGAAUCUGGCCUGAACUCAGCAACAGACCGACUGUGUCAAUUGAUCUAGAGGCAGUUUCAUGAAGUGUCAGAGUAGCAGCAACAAUUUGCUCCUAACAUUAGAGACCUCAUUCGUAUGCUUAAAAGAGCUACUGAUGAAGAAGUUGUGAUUCCGAUAGUGAUGGAGAAACUAAAUCUCACAUAAAUAAAAAUUAUAAGCCUUUGAAAAAAAUAUUUAAAAACUUUUUGAAGGCACUAAAAACAUAAAUGAAGUUAAAGGGAAUAUGAGCAGUAAAAGGAAGGAAAUGCAUAGAAUAAGUUCUACAUUUAUAACACUUUUCCAUAAAGGCUCUUUCCAGUCUACAUAAUGGGGAUGGCUAAAAUUUAUAUACAAAUCUACAGUCUUAUUGGCUUGAGGUAUCAGAGAACGCAAUUUGGGCUGUCAGAAAGGGUGAAAUUGAGAAAGAAGUCCUGAAAAGGGAGAAACAAAGGGAAAAAUCACAAAUUUGCACAUAAACUUUUCUCAAAUAUCUGUCUGCUACAAAAGCUACAUGUGUGCAAAGAAGACGACAAGGAGCACAGCAAAAAAGCACUGAUUGGAUGACUUCAAAAGCUAAGCAGACAUUUUAGCUAGUGUCCACCACAAGGAUUAUGGAGUUUGGAGUUUGAAUGCUGACAAGGUAGAAGGCCUUAAGUGUAAAGAUUAUGGUUCUAGGAUUGGGAUUAAGGGGAACAUUAAAAUAGAUCCUGACAUAGUUUGGAUCUGUGUCCAUGUUGAAUUGUAAUCCCCAGUGUUGCAGGUGGGGCCUGGUGGGAGGUGAUUGGAUUAUGGGGGUGGAUUUCUCUGUUGGUGCUGUUCUUGUGAUAGUGAGUGAGUGAGCUACCAUAGUAGCUUCAUUGCUUAUUGUGUUUUAUCCUGAUUCUCACAUCUGACUCUAGCCCUCUCAUGUUUUCACAGAACGUGCAACAUGGCACCUCCUAUUGCCAUGAAAGUAAGAGCAUGUCAGUUUAAAAUAAUCAUUUUAUCCCCAGAGUGAGCAUAGUGCCUGGCUUCUAAUAGUUAUUCAAUAAAUUAUCUCAAAACAAUUAAAUGAAUGAGUGUUUUGCCCUAGAUGUGUCUAAUCACUGCUCCCAUACAUUCUAUUCUAUGUCUAUUGCCUAGCCUACAUUCCCUCUACUUCUUUACACCUUAUUCAUCCUUUAUAGCCAGACUCAAGUGUUAACCCCUCUGUGAGUUUUUCCCAGAUGAUAAUUCUGGUCUCUCCCUUCUCUGAACAUAUAUUUAACUUUCAGUGAGAUCAUUACUCAUUACAGAGGUAGGAGGCAGGGCUGGACUCUGGAGGCGGGGCUUGGGCACUGGACCAGAUUAAAGACUAACUGAAACAGGGAAGAGGCAAAAGUGCCUCUUCAUAAGACACACCCACCAAUGCCAUGUCAGUUUGCUGUUGCCAUGGCAAAACCCAAAAUUUAUUGCUCCUUUAUCAUGGUAAUGGCCUGAUGAUCUGAAAGUUACCACCCUUUUUCUAGAAAUAUCUAGAAAUAUCUGCAUAAUCUGCUCCUUAAUUUGCAUGUAAUUAAAAGUGGGUAUAAAUAUGACAGCAGAACUGCCUCUGAGCUGCUAUUCUGGGCACACUGCCUAUGGAGUAUCCCUGUUCCACAAGGUUCAGUACCUCUGCUGCUGCUGUACAUGGCUGCUUCAAUAAAAGUUGCUGUUUAACACCAUGAGUUCACCCUUGCAUUCUUUUUUGGGUGAAGCCAAGAACCCUCCUGGGAUAGGCCAGCCUCAAUUUUGGGGUUUGCCUACCCUGCAUCAUCUAGCAACCACAAAGGGAUGAAGACAGCAAGUGGAGG